GACGAACGCUGGCGGCGUGCUUAACACAUGCAAGUCGAACGGAAAGGCCCUGCUUUUGUGGGGUGCUCGAGUGGCGAACGGGUGAGUAACACGUGAGUAACCUGCCCUUGACUUUGGGAUAACUUCAGGCAACUGGGUCUAAUACCGGAUAGGAGCUCCUGCUGCAUGGUGGGGGUUGGAACGUUUCGGCGGUUGGGGAUGGACUCGCGGCUUAUCAGCUUGUUGGUGGGGUAGUGGCUUACCAAGGCUUUGACGGGUAGCCGGCCUGAGAGGGUGACCGGCCACAUUGGGACUGAGAUACGGCCCAGACUCCUACGGGAGGCAGCAGUGGGGAAUAUUGCACAAUGGGCGGAAGCCUGAUGCAGCAACGCCGCGUGCGGGAUGACGGCCUUCGGGUUGUAAACCGCUUUGGCAUGUGACGAAGCGUGAGUGACGGUAAUGGGUAGAGAAGCACCGGCUAACUACGUG
rnacentral:rRNA from 1 species